rnacentral:ncRNA from 1 species
AAGCGUCCUCAGCGGCGGACCGGGCCCAAGUCCCCUGGAAAGGGGCGCCGGGGAGGGUGAGAGCCCCGUCCGGCCCGGACCCUGCCGCACCACGAGGCGCUGUCGGCGAGUCGGGUUGUUUGGGAAUGCAGCCCCAAUCGGGCGGUAAACUCCGUCCAAGGCUAAAUACGGGCGAGAGACCGAUAGCGAACAAGUACCGCGAGGGA